GGGAGUGUAACUCAGUGGUGCAGUGUGUGAUUAGCAUGCACCAGGCCCUGGGUUCAAUCCCCAGCACCCA
rfam:Ictidomys tridecemlineatus contig092055, whole genome shotgun sequence.